UGGGGAAUAUUCGACAAUGGGCGAAAGCCUGAUCCAGCCAUGCCGCGUGUGUGAAGAAGGCCUUUUGGUUGUAAAGCACUUUAAGCGUGGAGGAGGCUACUUGGAUUAAUACUCUAGGAUAGUGGACGUUACUCGCAGAAUAAGCACCGGCUAACUCUGUGCCAGCAGCCGCGGUACUACAGAGGGUGCGAGCGUUAAUCGGAUUUACUGGGCGUAAAGCGUGCGUAGGCGGCUUCUUAAGUCGGAUGUGAAAUCCCUGAGCUUAACUUAGGAAUUGCAUUCGAUACUGGGAAGCUAGAGUAUGGGAGAGGAUGGUAGAAUUCCAGGUGUAGCGAUGAAAUGCGUAGAGAUCUGGAAGAAUACCGAUGGCGAAGGCAGCCAUCUGGCCUAAUACUGACGCUGAGGUACGAAAGGAUGGGGAGCAAACAGG
rnacentral:rRNA from 1 species